rnacentral:rRNA from 1 species
AGAGUUUGAUCCUGGCUCAGAGUGAACGCUGGCGGCAGGCCUAACACAUGCAAGUCGAACGGCAGCACAGCAGUAGCAAUACUGCGGGUGGCGAGUGGCGGACGGGUGAGGAAUGCGUCGGAAUCUGCCUAUUUGUGGGGGAUAACGUAGGGAAACUUACGCUAAUACCGCAUACGACCUACGGGUGAAAGUGGGGGACCUUCGGGCCUCACGCAGAUAGAUGAGUCGACGCCGGAUUAGCUAGUUGGCGGGGUAAGGCCCACCAAGGCGACGAUCCGUAGCUGGUCUGAGAGGAUGAUCAGCCACACUGGGACUGAGACACGGCCCAGACUCCUACGGGAGGCAGCAGUGGGGAAUAUUGGACAAUGGGCGCAAGCCUGAUCCAGCCAUGCCGCGUGUGUGAAGAAGGCCUUCGGGUUGUAAAGCACUUUUGUCCGGAAAGAAAUCCUUUCGAUUAAUACUCGGGAGGGAUGACGGUACCGG